CAUGCAAGUAAACCUGUUCUUCUUCGCAUUCUUUUUUACCUUCCCCUGAACGGGAGGCGUUUCGUCGUGAAAUAAGAAUGCGAAGACGAAUAAUAAAGCCUCCCGAAAGGGAGGUUUUUUUUUG
rfam:Izhakiella sp. D4N98 NODE_13_length_124369_cov_107.774_ID_3299, whole genome shotgun sequence.